GUAAAAUCGUCUGCCAUUAGACAGAGUAAGUGGGCCAUAUUGUCUCUUAAAGCAGUGAAUAUAAAUCCUUUUACUCAUUAUACAUAAUCAUAGGAAGACUAAGUAUAAAUCAUAACUACUUUGGGACAUACCUUAACAUAAUUGGUGAUAAUUUCCCGAACUGUCUCAUUUCAAACUUUCAGUCCUAAAAGAAAACAUUUUGAGUGAUGUAUUUGAGCUUACAGCGCAUUUGAGGUGUAGUGUAGUGUAGUGUAGUGUAGUGUAGUGUAGUGUAGUGUAG